rnacentral:rRNA from 1 species
GUGAACGCUGGCGGUAGGCCUAACACAUGCAAGUCGAACGGCAGCACAGAGGAGCUUGCUCCUUGGGUGGCGAGUGGCGGACGGGUGAGGAAUACAUCGGAAUCUACUCUUUCGUGGGGGAUAACGUAGGGAAACUUACGCUAAUACCGCAUACGACCUUCGGGUGAAAGCAGGGGAUCGCAAGACCUUGCGCGAUUGAAUGAGCCGAUGUCGGAUUAGCUAGUUGGCGGGGUAAAGGCCCACCAAGGCGACGAUCCGUAGCUGGUCUGAGAGGAUGAUCAGCCACACUGGAACUGAGACACGGUCCAGACUCCUACGGGAGGCAGCAGUGGGGAAUAUUGGACAAUGGGCGCAAGCCUGAUCCAGCCAUACCGCGUGGGUGAAGAAGGCCUUCGGGUUGUAAAGCCCUUUUGUUGGGAAAAAAAAGCACACGGUUAAUACCCGAGUGUUCUGACGGUACCCAAAGAAUAAGCACCGGCUAACUUCGUGCCAGCCGCCGCCGUAA